GAUGAACGCUAGCUACAGGCUUAACAAAUGCAAGUCGAGGGACCGGCGCACGGGUGAGUAACACGUAUCCACCCUGCCCUUUACUCGGGGAUAGCCUUUCGAAAGAAAGAUUACUACCCGAGGUAAAGGCUGGGGAUGCGUUCCAUUAGGUUGUUGGUAAGGUAACGGCUCACCGAGCCUUCGAUGGAUAGGGGUUCUGAGAGGAAGGCCCCCCACAUUGGAAAUGAGACACGGUCCAAACUCCUACGGGAGGCAGCAGUGUGGAAUAUUGGUCAAUGGGCGUUAGCCUGACCCAGCCAAGUAUCGUGAAGGAUGAAUGCUUAUGGGUCGUAAACUUCUUUUAUAUAAGAAUAUGUAUUAUAUGAAUAAGGAUCGGCUAACUCCGUGCCAGCAGCCGCGGUAAUUC
rnacentral:rRNA from 1 species